CAUGAAGUCGGAAUUGCUAGUAAUCGCAGAUCAGCAUGCUGCGGUGAAUACGUUCCCGGGCCUUGUACACACCGCCCGUCACACCAUGGGAGUCGGUAACACCCGAAGUCAGGAGCCUGACCUUUUUAGGAGGGCACUGCCGAAGGUGGGAUUGAUGACUGGGGUGAAGUCGUAACAAGGUACC
rnacentral:rRNA from 1 species